ensembl:lncRNA
UGUUUUAACUUUUUUUAUAAAAGAUAAAAGAUAAAGAGAUCUAGUACUUGCCCGGCCCCAGCCAAAUGAAACCCCAGACAUCAUUUUGGGUGCAUACAAAAGUGCAUCCCGGCAUUGAAGUGUUUCUGUUGGUCAAAGGAAAAAACUACAUCCUCCCUCCAUCAGUGUCAAACAAGAGAUUGUCGCACCCAAGAUUCAGCUCAAGUAUCCGUCGUUCCAGACAACAACUGUAUCCUGUUCAACUGGUGGAUAGUUCUCUGGGCCUGUCUCUUUCAGUCAGGAGCAGAUAGCCCUGUCACAGGGGCCCCACUGAGUCCCUUGGAGAUCACCACCCAGACUGACACUACAUCGUCUGGGCCAAGAUACCCCACCCCCUCGCGAUUAGUGCCUGCAGACAGCAGACACCACACCGGCC